GACGAACGCUGGCGGCGUGCUUAACACAUGCAAGUCGAACGGAAAGGCCCAGCUUGCUGGGUACUCGAGUGGCGAACGGGUGAGUAACACGUGGGUGAUCUGCCCUGGACUCUGGGAUAAGCCUGGGAAACUGGGUCUAAUACCGGAUAUGACCUUACAUCGCAUGGUGUUUGGUGGAAAGCUUUUGCGGUUCAGGAUGGGCCCGCGGCCUAUCAGCUUGUUGGUGGGGUAUGGCCUACCAAGGCGACGACGGGUAGCCGACCUGAGAGGGUGAUCGGCCACACUGGGACUGAGACACGGCCCAGACUCCUACGGGAGGCAGCAGUGGGGAAUAUUGCACAAUGGGCGCAAGCCUGAUGCAGCGACGCCGCGUGAGGGAUGACGGCCUUCGGGUUGUAAACCUCUUUCACCAGGGACGAAGCGUGAGUGACGGUACCUGGAGAAGAAGCACCGGCCAACUACGUG
rnacentral:rRNA from 1 species